GAUGAACGCUGGCGGCGUGCCUAAUACAUGCAAGUCGAGCGAACGGACGAGAAGCUUGCUUCUCUGAUGUUAGCGGCGGACGGGUGAGUAACACGUGGAUAACCUACCUAUAAGACUGGGAUAACUUAGGAAACCGGAGCUAAUACCGGAUAAUAUUUUGAACCGCAUGGUUCAAAAGUGAAAGACGGUCUUGCUGUCACUUAUAGAUGGAUCCGCGCUGCAUUAGCUAGUUGGUAAGGUAACGGCUUACCAAGGCAACGAUGCAUAGCCGACCUGAGAGGGUGAUCGGCCACACUGGAACUGAGACACGGUCCAGACUCCUACGGGAGGCAGCAGUAGGGAAUCUUCCGCAAUGGGCGAAAGCCUGACGGAGCAACGCCGCGUGAGUGAUGAAGGUCUUCGGAUCGUAAAACUCUGUUAUUAGGGAAGAACAUAUGUGUAAGUAACUGUGCACAUCUUGACGGUACCUAAUCAGAAAGCCACGGCUAACUACGUG
rnacentral:rRNA from 1 species